CUUUUUUAAUUUUAUAUGUGGAACAUGCAAGAUAAGGUAGAGGAGAUAUGGCUGUAAAACUGUAAUAAAAAGC